CGGACGGGUGAGUAACGCUGGGGGACCGUGCCCUNUACCGGGGGACGAACAGCCAGAAAUGGCUGCUAAUACCGCAUAACCCUGCGGUGCCGCAUGGCACUGCAGGAAAAACUCCGGUGGUACAGGAUGGCCCUGCGUCUGAUUAGCUUGUUGGCGGGGUAACGGCCCACCAAGGCAGCGAUCAGUAGCCGGCUUGAGAGAGCGGACGGCCACAUUGGGACUGAGACACGGCCCAGACUCCUACGGAAGGCAGCAG
rnacentral:rRNA from 1 species